UACAGAGGGUGCAAGCGUUAAUCGGAAUUCCUGGGCGUAAAGCGUGCGUAGGGGGUUUUUUAAGUCAGGUGUGAAAUCCCUGGGCUCAACCUGGGAACUGCAUUUGAUACUGGAAAGCUAGAGUGUGGUAGAGGAUGGUGGAAUUCCCGGUGUAGCGGUGAAAUGCGUAGAUAUCGGGAGGAACAUCAGUGGCGAAGGCGGCCAUCUGGACCAACACUGACACUGAGGCACAAAAGCGUGGGGAGCAAACAGG
rnacentral:rRNA from 1 species